UGGGCUGCGCGAGCGCAGGGUCCCCAGCUUCCCGGUAGGCGGUCCUGUAUCUUGGGCCGCAGCGGAGCGGCUGCCUGGGGCCGUGCUUCGGCACCCCCCUGAGCGACGGGAAGACCCGCCGAGCCCGCGGCGCGCACCUGCGGCUCCACAGCCUCCCUCGCCCCUCCCGCAGCGCCCCACGGCCCGCCAGCCUCCCCAAGCUCCGUCCGGGGCACCCCAUACUCCAGCGCCCCGCGCGCUCACCUCGGUCACCGGUCAGCAGGUCUGUCCGCAGAGCCCUCGCUGCCACACGUCUCCAAACGCUCGGCAUGUCUCCCCCUAGAUGUUUGAGAGCAUCCAGAGUGAAUGAGUCUCCAUCCCGGCUCCCGUCAGCAGCUGGGCCUGGACUGGCAGUGCCCGCGUGAAGGAGGCACAAACCUGCCUCUAGAACUGCAUGACAGCAGAGGUCCUCAGAGAAGUGGUUCCCGAAUUUUGCUGCACAUUACAACUUUCUGGGGAGCUUUGAAGAGUCCCAAUGCCCACAUGACAGCAUGUGGCAGGACCCAUCAGCUCCAGGUCAAGCAGUUGUUUCAAUCUAGUUGGGGAGGGCGCAGCUCAAAUGGCCUAUGUGGGGAUCGAACUGGCAACCUUGUUAAGAGCACCGCGCUCUAACCAACUGAGCUAACGCCGCCCGCCAUUGCCCUCAAUUUACACAAGACUCCUAGCUAGCUCUGCCCUAGAAGAGGGAAAUAGCCGUGCUAUGAACUGUGGCAGGGAACCGUGGGUGGCCACUGGGACCUGAUGCUGCACCCAGCUCAUGGCCAAAAGCUGAGGCCAUCAGUCCUACACCCACAAGGAAAUGGAUUCUGCAACCGAGAGCACAGCCAACACUGACUGCAGCUGCGUGUGAUGGAAUAAUGGGCCUAGCCAGGUGUGUCCCAACUC